UACCUGGUUGAUCCUGCCAGUAAUCAUAUGCUUGUCUCAAAGAUUAAGCCAUGCAUGUCUAAGUACAUGCCGAAAUAAGGCGAAACCGCGAAUGGCUCAUUAAAUCAGUUAUGGUUCCUUAGAUCGUUUCUUCCUACUUGGAUAACUGUGGCAAUUCUAGAGCUAAUACAUGCAGUGAGCCUGAAGCCCUUUGGGCGACGGGUGCUUUUAUUAGACCAAGAUCGAUCGGGUUUCGGCCCGUAUUGUGUGGUGACUCUGGAUAACUUUGUGCUGAUCGCAUGGCCACGAGCCGGCGACGUUUCUUUCAAGUGUCUGCCUUAUCAACUUUCGAUGGUAGGUUACUUGCUUACCAUGGUUGUUACGGGUAACGGAGAAUCAGGGUUCGAUUCCGGAGAGGGAGCCUGAGAAACGGCUACCACAUCCAAGGAAGGCAGCAGGCGCGCAAAUUACCCACUCCCGGCACGGGGAGGUAGUGACGAAAAAUAACAAUACGGGACUCUUUUGAGGCCCCGUAAUUGAAAUGAGUACACUCUAAAUCCUUUAACGAGGAUCAAUUGGAGGGCAAGUCUGGUGCCAGCAGCCGCGGUAAUUCCAGCUCCUAUACUAAAGCUGCUGCGGUUAAAAAGCUCGUAGUUGGAUCUCAGUUCCAGACGAGUAGUGCAUCUACCCGAUGCGACGGCUCGGACUGAACAUCAUGCCGGUCCUUUCUUGGUGCACUUCAUUGUGUGCCUCGAGAAGGCCGGUGCUUUUACUUUGAAAAAAUUAGAGUGCUCAACGCAGGCGAGUCGCCUGAAUAAACUUGCAUGGAAUAAUAGAACAAGACCUCGUUUCUGUUCUGUUGGUUUUUGGAAUACGAGGUAAUGAUUAAGAGGGACAGACGGGGGCAUUCGUAUUGCGGCGCUAGAGGUGAAAUUCUUGGACCGUCGCAAGACGAACUACUGCGAAAGCAUUUGCCAAGAAUGUUUUCUUUGAUCAAGAACGAAAGUCAGAGGUUCGAAGGCGAUCAGAUACCGCCCUAGUUCUGACCAUAAACGAUGCCAACCAGCGAUCCGCCUGAGUUACUCAAAUGACUCGGCGGGCAGCUUCCGGGAAACCAAAGUGUUUGGGUUCCGGGGGAAGUAUGGUUGCAAAGCUGAAACUUAAAGGAAUUGACGGAAGGGCACCACCAGGAGUGGAGCCUGCGGCUUAAUUUGACUCAACACGGGAAAACUUACCCGGCCCGGACACUGGGAGGAUUGACAGAUUGAGAGCUCUUUCUUGAUUCGGUGGAUGGUGGUGCAUGGCCGUUCUUAGUUGGUGGAGCGAUUUGUCUGGUUAAUUCCGAUAACGAACGAGACUCUAGCCUAUUAAAUAGGUGCGGGGUUCCCAGCACCUUACAACCUUCUUAGAGGGACAAGCGGCUCCUAGCCGCACGAAACAGAGCAAUAACAGGUCUGUGAUGCCCUUAGAUGUCCGGGGCCGCACGCGCGCUACACUGAAGGAAGCAGCGUGUCUUUAUCCCUGUCUGAAAAGACUGGGUAACCCGUGGAACUUCUUUCGUGAUUGGGAUAGGGGCUUGCAAUUGUUCCCCUUGAACGAGGAAUUCCCAGUAAGCGCGAGUCAUAAGCUCGCGUUGAUUACGUCCCUGCCCUUUGUACACACCGCCCGUCGCUACUACCGAUUGAAUGAUUUAGUGAGGUCUUCGGACCGAUGUCCGGCGCGGCCUUUCGGUUGCGCCGGUCUGUUGGAAAGAUGACCAAACUUGAUCAUUUAGAGGAAGUAAAAGUCGUAACAAGGUUUCCGUAGGUGAACCUGCGGAAGGAUCAUUA
rnacentral:rRNA from 1 species